rnacentral:rRNA from 1 species
GACGAACGCUGGCGGCGUGCCUAAUACAUGCAAGUUGAGCGAUGAAGCUUGGUGCUUGCACCAAUUUGAAGAGCAGCGAACGGGUGAGUAACGCGUGGGGCAUCUGCCUUUGAGCGGGGGACCACAUUUGGAAACGAAUGCUAAUACCGCAUAACAACUUUAAACAUAAGUUUUAAGUUUGAAAGAUGCAAUUGCAUCACUCAAAGAUGAUCCCGCGUUGUAUUAGCUAGUUGGUGAGGUAAAGGAUCACCAAGGCGAUGAUACAUAGCCGACCUGAGAGGGUGAUCGGCCACAUUGGGACUGAGACACGGCCCAAACUCCUACGGGAGGCAGCAGUAGGGAAUCUUGGGGAAUGGACGAAAGUCUGACCGAGCAACGCCGCGUGAGUGAAGAAGGUUUUCGGAUCGUAAAACUCGGUUGGUAGAGAAGAACGUUGGUGAGAGUGGAAAGCUCAUCAAGUGACGGUAACUACCCAGAAAGGGACGGCUAACUACGUG